rnacentral:tRNA from 1 species
UCCCGGGUGGUGUAACGGUAGCACAUCGCCCUUUGGAGGCGGUAGUCCUGGUUCGAAUCCAGGCUCGGGAG